rnacentral:rRNA from 1 species
UACGGGGGGGGCAAGCGUUGUUCGGAAUUACUGGGCGUAAAGGGCUCGUAGGCGGCCAACUAAGUCCGACGUGAAAUCCCCAGGCUUAACCUGGGAACUGCGUCCGAUACUGGAAGGCUUGAAUCCGGGAGAGGGAUGCGGAAUUCCAGGUGUAGCGGUGAAAUGCGUAGAUAUCAGGAGGAACACCGGUGGCGAAGGCGGGUCUCUGGGCCAUAACUGACGCUGAGGAGCGAAAGCGUGGGGAGCGAACAGG